rnacentral:rRNA from 1 species
GUAUGACGUAGUCUGAUGCAGCACGCCGCGUGAGCUGAGAGCCUUCGGAGUCGUAAGCUCUGUUGUCAGCGUGCAUGACAUAGGCGCAGCGAGUCACAUGGCUGCGCGCACUGACAGUACGUUGCAGUGAGAGAGCACGGCUAACUACGUGCCAGCAGCCGCGGUAUA